AUUGAACGCUGGCGGCAGGCCUAACACAUGCAAGUCAAGCGGAAGGGGCUUCGGCCCUGAGAGCGGCGGACGGGUGAGGAGAGCGUGGGAAUCUGCCUGGAGAUGGGGGAUAGCCCGGAGAAAUCCGGCUUAAUACCGCAUAAUACCUGAGGGUUAAAGUGGAGGAGCGCAAGACUUCACGUCUACAGAUGAGCCCAAGUCAGAUUAGCUAGUUGGUAGGGUAAAGGCCUACCAAGGCGACGAUCUGUAGCUGGCCUGAGAGGGUGGCCAGCCACACUGGAACUGAGACACGGUCCAGACUCCUACGGGAGGCAGCAGUGGGGAAUAUUGGACAAUGGGCGCAAGCCUGAUCCAGCCAUGCCGCGUGUGUGAAGAAGGCCUUCGGGUUGUAAAGCACUUUAAGUUGGGAGGAAGGUUCCUUGGCUAAUAUCCAAGGGAAUUGACGUUACCGACAGAAUAAGCACCGGCUAAUUCCGUGCCAGCCGCCGCCGUAA
rnacentral:rRNA from 1 species